rnacentral:rRNA from 1 species
AGAGUGAACGCUGGCGGUAGGCCUAACACAUGCAAGUCGAACGGCAGCACGGUAAGAGCUUGCUCUUAUGGGUGGCGAGUGGCGGACGGGUGAGGAAUACAUCGGAAUCUACCUUUUGGUGGGGGAUAACGUAGGGAAACUUACGCUAAUACCGCAUACGCCCUUCGGGGGAAAGCCGGGGACCAGCAAUGGCCUGGUGCUGAUAGAUGAGCCGAUGUCGGAUUAGCUAGUUGGUGAGGUAAUGGCUCACCAAGGCGACGAUCCGUAGCUGGUCUGAGAGGAUGAUCAGCCACACUGGAACUGAGACACGGUCCAGACUCCUACGGGAGCAGCAG